rnacentral:rRNA from 1 species
GACGAACGCUGGCGGCGUGCUUAACACAUGCAAGUCGAACGAAGUGGCGGACGGGUGAGUAACGCGUAAUCAACCUGCCCUUCAGAGGGGGACAACAGUUGGAAACGACUGCUAAUACCGCAUACUGAAGGAGGGGAUUGCGUCUGAUUAGCUAGUUGGGGGGGUAACGGCCCACCAAGGCGAUGAUCAGUAGCCGGUCUGCGAGGAUGAACUGCCAAAAUGGGAACUAGACAAGGCCCAGACUCCUUAGGGAGGCAGCAGUGGGGAAUCUUCCGCAAUUGACGAAAGUCUGAAGGCGCAAAGCCGCGUGAGUGAUGACGGCCUUCGGGUUGUAAAGCUCUGUUAAUCGGGACGCGGUACCGGAAUAGAAAGCCACGGCUAACUACGUGCCAGCAGCCGCGGUAAUUC